GAAAAAACGAAAUUUUUAGGCACAAGAUACCUGAAACCUUAAAGCUCAAAAUAGUCCUAAUUUCUGCCCUACACUUCUGGGUAUUCCCAGCAAGACUGUUGUUAGCUCAGAAGAGCUUCUGGCCUAAUUAGAAGAUGUGGACAAACAAUCUGCUAUAUUUGCCUGGACCAAACCCAAACAAAUGAUUUGUGCCCUUCAGCUUUGGAGGCAUCAUUUUAAAAAGCCAUGCUGCCUGCAAAUUGCAAGACAGACGAGCUGGGCUUUUAAUAAUCCAGAUCGGACAGUAACACAGGUCACUUUGUGCCCACUCAGUCCUCGCCAUUCACUUGGAUCCUGUGAUCCUGCCUACCCAAGCCAAUCCAAGGUGAACGUGGACAGCAGGUGGCAACAGCAGAGCUUGCAACAUCCUUUGAUUGCAUUCUCCAUUCAAAUAAAUGUCAACCUGUAUUGCAAUCACCGCUUUAGGUCAGAAAAGCAUAUCCAUGUUAAUAAUUGCAACAGAAGGUUUAAUUGUGUGGAGUGAGGGAAUGGAAGAAUUCAGAAGUAGUAAGUAGCUUGGAGCUGCCCAUAAAAUAUGACCUAAGAUAUUUUUUUUUUUUGUUGGAAUGGGAAUGUGAAAGCAUUUUUCAUCAUGAAAAAGGUGAAAAAGUCAAAAGUCUUUAUUUCAUCUGAAUGUUUACCUUGUUAAAUUAGGGGUUGGAAUUGACAGUAGUAAUAGAGAAGGCAGCAGUGCUGUAGGUGUUACGAUAAAGAAAUAAGGGGCCAAUUCUGCAGGUGUUAUGAUCAGUUAACUGACUCAGCAGGAGCUGUCAAUGUGCACCUGCAGCCCUGAAAGCCAACUGUAUCUGGGCUGCAUCAAAAGCAGCAUGACCAGCA